AACCUGACUAGGAAGGAUCGGCUGCUCAAGGGUAGCUGGGACUGAAGUCCCUAUGACCUUUCCACUAGACGCUAGCAUUCUGGAGGACAGUUGGGACUUGGUAAGUUUUCUCUCCCAGGUUUCUUUUUUCUUAAACUCCUGGCCUCAAGUGAUCCUCUUACCUCAGCCUCUCAAAGUGUCGGGAUUACAGGUUCUUCCUGCAAUACAGUGGAUACAAUUUGUCAUGGCUACUCUGAGUGUUAUAGGUUCAAGUUCACUUAUUGCCUAUGCUGUAUUCCAGAAUAUACAGAAAUCUCCAGAGAUAAGACCACUUUUUUAUCUGAGCUUCUGUGACCUGCUCCUGGGACUUUGCUGGCUCACGGAGACACUUCUCUAUGGAGCUUCAGUAGCAAAUAAGGACAUCAUCUGCUAUAACCUACAAGCAGUUGGACAGAUAUUCUACAUUUCCUCAUUUCUCUACACCGUCAAUUACAUCUGGUAUUUGUACACAGCGCUGAGGAUGAAACACACCCAGAGUGGACAGAGCACAUCUCCACUGGUGAUAGAUUAUACUUGUCGAGUUGGUCAAAUGGCCUUUGUUUUCUCAAGCCUGAUACCUCUGCUAUUGAUGACACCUGUAUUCUGUCUGGGCAAUACUAGUGAAUGUUUCCAAAACUUCAGUCAGAGCCACAAGUGUAUCUUGAUGCACUCACCACCAUCAGCCGUGGCUGAACUCCCACCUUCUGCCAACACAUCUGUCUGUAGCACACUUUAUUUUUAUGGUAUCGCCAUUUUCCUGGGCAGCUUUGUACUCAGCCUCCUUACCAUUAUGGUCUUACUUAUCCGAGCCCAGACAUUGUAUAAGAAGUUUGUGAAGUCAACUGGCUUUCUGGGGAGUGAACAGUGGGCAGUGAUUCACAUUGUGGACCAACGGGUGCGCUUCUACCCAGUGGCCUUCUUUUGCUGCUGGGGCCCAGCCUCGGCCUCACCAUGUGUGUCAGGAGCUGUUUCCAGUCCCCCCGUCUCCAGUGGGUGUGGAGGACAGCCUUCCUGAAACACACCCAGUGCAGGCACCAGGGGUCCCACCGAUGGACGCACCUUGGAGGCAGCACCUACAGAGCGGUGAUUUUCGACAUGGGCAGAGUUCUCAUUCCUUCUCCAGGGAGAGUCGCUGCAGUCAUACAGGAGUAUGGAGUGAUGAACACAGGAGUGAUCCAUGCAGACUUUGUUUGGGGCACAAGAAGUGCCGACGCGCACAUCUCCAUCAUCAGGGAUAUCAGUAAUGUUAUGGGCAUCCAUGCUCCAGCACCAGUCAUUGUCAUGAGGGACCUGGAUCACUGUAUGUUGAGCUUUGACUCGUGGUAAGGAUUGAACACCUGUACAUAUGAGUUUCCCACAAAAUACAUUAUCACCUGAACAUAUAACAUAUGUUUGCUGAUCCUCAGUGGGACGGCCACAGUUUCCAAACCGGUCUCCUCUGGUAUUUAUUGAAAUGUAACAGUCUUCCGGGGCAGAUCUUGCAGGGUACCCAUAUAUAUUCACACAUUGGUUAUCAGGGUUCUUACACUGACCCCCAGAGCAAUAGUGAAUUCUAUCAUACAACGUGCCAUCUUGCUUGUAGCUGUCUGCAGGGCAUUCUGCAGAGCUACCGUCACAAUAUUCUGGGAGGUCACAAUCAUCCUGAGUAGGACGGCAUAAAAACCCCUUCCUUCUGAAAGUGCAGCCCAGACAGCAGAGGCCAUGGCUGCACUCAACAUUCUCCUUCAGAGUACAUGUGGCAUCACAGCAUGGGUCGAGGUGACAGGCAGAACCACAGUCACACUGCUCUGUGUCCUCCACCACACCAUUUCCACAGGCAGAAUCCCUACGCUUGCGGCCCCUGGGCCAUGGCUUGUUAAAUAGGCAGGCCCCUUUGUGUUCUCGAAGGAACUGGUAGUAGUAGUCAGAGCUGCAGUUGCUGAAGCCACUUUCUUUUGUGAUAUUUUCAUGCAUGAGGCAAAAGUGCUUAUCUUUACAAAAGCAGGCCGAGUGGUCGUGCUGAAUACCCAGGUUGUGCCCGAGCUCAUGGGCCAUCAGGGCUGCAAACAACAGCGCAUCUUCAUGAUGGAAGGAUUCAACAGCUGCCACAAAACCGCUUGAGCAGGCACCACUGAGAAAGGCCUGGCCCAUAUUCUGUCCAGGGUGAUGCCCAACGAUCAUGUGGGCAACAUCGUGUUUUGCGCGAUGGAAGAGCAUCUCUUGUCUCCAGUGAUUGAAAUUCCUGAGUGUGAUUUGCAAGUCCACUGUGACAUCUAUUAGGUCCCCCUCGGUCCAAAUCUCCAUUCCAGCCAGCACCACCUCUGUGUUUAUUCCCCUAGUGAAGCUGUUGGCCAGAGCAAUGACAUCCACUACUGUCUGGACCGUCUCAUUGACGUUACUGCCCCACAUCUGGAACCGCUGGUUGUUGACCACGACAAACAUUUCCACGUACUUUUUGUGUGACCACAAGUAGGACAGCGCCUGUAGAUCAUGAGGCUUCCUGCUCCCUUGUUGCCAGCUAGUAGACACCACAUGGCUGUCUCUGGAAGUGACACCACAGGAGACUCGCGCUUGAUGUGCCAUGGUGUAUAACACAUGUUCAAACCGUCUUGAAGAGUCCAUGGGCUCACUGCUGUAAGAUUUUUCCUCCUUAAUCAGGAUGCCCCUGAGACCUGCACAGAUGUUGACAGAAACAAAAGAACCUGACACUCCUUCUAUGUAGCCUUCAUAGUGGCAGUCAUGUGAGAUGAAAGGCGAUUCUUGCCCCAGGAGGCCAUUGUGGUAACUGUAGACUGGAAAGUUAUUCACAAAAUGGUUUCUCUUCACCUUCAGAUGAACCAGGUGCUUCUGGCCUUGCAUAAGUAACAAGUAGGACAGUCCUUCCACUGGGAUAUCUCCUCCCUGGACUGUCAGCCUCUUUGGAAUAAUUAUUUCAUAGAAAGAGUAAUAGAUUGAUCCCAGGUGACAGUACAUGCUUGGCACAAAAAUCACCAAAAGCAUCAAAAUCUCUAACCUGAUACAUGAAGGUCCUGGUACUAGCCCCAGCCUUAAGUUCCACUUCUGUGGAGCCCAAGUUUGAAACUUUAUCUUAGCCUCUUCCAAGGCCACUUGGUUUUUCCAUAAAGCAGGAUGUUGGCAGAGUCUUUUAAUAAUGCCACCAGUGACAUGGCCCAAAUAAAUCAGUUAAUGAUUCUGGGCCUAUGUCCAUCAGCAGAGCUCUCCCUCGCACACAAACCCUCGGAGGCUCAGGUGUUAGUCUCAGAUCUACGCUGGCUCCCUUAUUGGCAGUUCUUGCCCAACUCUGAUUCUUACAGAACUUCAAGCCGUGUUUCUCUUCCUGCUUCUCUCCUGGCCUUCGGCAGUUUCUUUAGUAUGUCUUCCUUCCAACAGCAACAACUUUAAUCUUCCUUAGUUAUAUUCCUUUUACUUUCAUGGGAAGAUAUUCCAAGUAGAAGGCCUGUAGUGAUCCAGCCAGUACUGUAACUCAGGCAAAUUAUUCUUUAUCCUCAGCUCAGGCCACACAACUUGAUAUCCGUUAAUCUGCUCAUUCUUUGAAACCCAACAUUCUGUCAGGGGGUGGGGGGAAGGGGGCAGGGCUUCUCUGGGGAUCUCUGAAAAGGUCAAAGUUCUUUGUGGCCCACUGCCUCUUUCCCUCAUUUCUGCAGUUUUCAGGGUACCAUUUCUCAGUUCAACUCUCCUUUGUCAGUGUCUGGUUUUUUUUCUUUAAUUCAAGAAAAUCUGUAUGUGGAUGUUCAAGUUUUCCCUCAUUAUCGUUGGUUCAUAACAAAUGAGUUUAGAUAUUUUAUAUCUGCAUAUAAUCUUCUCUACCAAGUUUUCCUAAUGCACGGAUAUAUUAUGUGUUAAGUAAAAUGGGCUCAAGUUUCACCAUGGGAGUAUAUAAAGGAUCAGGAUCAAAGUUCAGUUCCUCCAACUGCCCUAACAUAAAAACAAAGUGUGGGGCCCGGGCACGGUGGCUCACCCCUGUAAUCCCAGCACUUUGGGAGGCCGAGGCAGGCGGAUCACCUGAGGUCGGGAGUUCGAGACCAGCCUGGCCAGCAUGGUGAAACCCCGUCCCUACUAAAAAUGCAAAAAUUAGCGGGGCGUGGUGGCAGGCGCCUGUAAUCUCAGCUACUCAGGAAGGUGAGGCAGGAGAAUCGCUGGAACCCAGGAGGCGUAGGUUGCAGUAAGCCGAGAUCACACCUUUGCACUCCAACCUGGGCAACAGAGUGAGAAUCCGUCUCAAAAAAAAAACUGUGGGGUCAAAAUAAAAGCUGACUAACCAGGUGUCUAGUUAACAUUUCAUCAAGAAAAGAAAACUGGGCUAUAUAAGAACUUUUAAAAGAUUUCUUCGGUUUGGAACUAAAAUUGACCUGAAAUGUCUGUGGAAGUCCUUGAAUUUGGUUUUGAUGUCAAUUUCCUUGGUGUAUUUAGCAGUACAAAUUUAAAAGGAAAAGAAGCCCUAUGCACCCAUUCCUUACGCAGUUAUUCUGUGCAUUCUAGAUGAAGAAAAAUAAAACUCUACAUUUUUUAUCUUGUAUAA